rnacentral:rRNA from 1 species
AGAGUUUGAUCCUGGCUCAGGAUGAACGCUAGCGGUGUGCCUAACACAUGCAAGUCGUGCGAUCGAGCCAGACUAAUCACCCUUCGGGGUGUGAAGACUGGUGACGGAGCGGCGGACUGGUGAGUAACACGUGGCUAACCUACCUUCUUGACGGGGAUAACUAUUCGAAAGAAUAGCUAAUACCCGAUAUUGCUGAAGAUCGAUGGAUCUUCAGCCAAAGGCGGCCUAGUCGUCACAAGAGGAUGGGGCUGCGCCCUAUUAGCUUGUUGGUAAGGUAAUGGCUUACCAAGGCAAUGAUGGGUAGCUGGUCUGAGAGGAUGAUCAGCCACAUUGGGACUGAGAUACGGCCCAGACUCCUACGGGAGGCAGCAGUGGGGAAUAUUUCACAAUGGGCGAAAGCCUGAUGGAGCAACACCGCGUGGGGGAUGAAUGCCUUCGGGUUGUAAACCCCUUUUCUGGGGGAAGAAUAAGGUCGGGAGGGAAUGCCCGUCCGAUGACGGUACUCCAGGAAUAAGGAUCGGCUAACUUCGUGCCAGCAGCCGCGGUAAGACGAAGGAUCCGAGUGUUAUCCGGAAUUACUGGGCGUAAAGGGCGUCUAGGCGGCCAAGUAAGUCACCCGUGAAAGUCCGCGGCUCAACCGCGGAAUGCCGGGUGAAACUGCUUGACUUGGGUAUAGGAGAAGAGGGUGGAACUCACAGAGUAGCGGUGGAAUGCGUAGAUACUGUGAGGUACCCCGAUGGCGAAGGCAACCCUCUGGCCUGCUACCGACGCUGAAGCGCGAAAGCGUGGGGAGCAAAGGGGAUUAGAUACCCCCGUAGUCCACGCCGCAAACGAUGUUCACUUGGUGUCGGUCGCUGAUACAGAUCGGUGCCGGGAGCUAACGUGUUAAGUGAACCGCCUGGGGAGUACGGCCGCAAGGCUA